GAACAGAAUAGGCAUGGCCUUCACCCUACCCCAAACCUGAAAGAUAACACAAAGGCGGGAGGGCUGGCGCCACCCCUCCCCUGACCCUCUCAAUUCCUGCUGGUGCCAGUUCUAGAAAAUGAGGCCCUUUCCGAGAAGCCACCUCUGAUUCAAGUGAAGCUUGGUUACUUCAUAAUGGAUUAUGCUACAGCGCGCUCCGGUUACUAAUAAGUCACUAUGAAUUAAGGUUCUGACAAGAGCCUAGAUUUUGAGGGAGAAAACGGAACGUGGCCAGAAAUGUCUCAAGAGCUGGCAAAAGGGCUGUCUUUUGCUGUUACUGAAAUCAUCCAGGAAGGCAAGGAGAACCCGAAAGUCCUACUGGGAGGAGAGAACCCGUGAUCCAGUCGCCCCACGAAAAGGAUGAUGUGUGUUUCAACUCAGUAUUACUGAAAAUGGGAAAUACCAGGGAAACUAUUGCUGAUAUGAAUUCAUGCUGGUCUGAUAAACUAGAACAGUGGUAUCGGCCAGGAAACUCUGACAUGGUUUUUCCCUUUCCUCAGCUUUUUUUUUUUUUUUUUUUAAAAGGAAGAAUGUUUGCUUUUCCAUUUAGGAGAUUUACGUGCCUUAGAACUUAUUAGAGCGUCGAGAGGAUACAGGGAAAAGAGGACAGCACCUGCUUUCCAUCUGGUAACAUCGCCCUGCCGUGCCUCCCCGGUGUGUUUGUGGCCACCACCUUCAUCUCUGCCUCCUUCACAAGCAGCAAAACCUGCCCUCAGGAAGAGGACCUGAUUAUAUCCGAUGAAGCUUAAAAUGAUACUCAUCUCUGGAUUUCACGAGGUGGUGGCGAGGGGCAGAAGAAAAGGGAGAGAGAGAAUCCCAAGCAGGUUCCACAAGCAGCCGGAGGCCAGUGUGGGUGGGGCUUCAUCUCUCAGCCCUGAGAACAUGACUGAGCCAAAACCGAGAGUCAGACACUCAACUGGCUGAGCCACCCAGGCGCCCGACUUCUCACUUUGAAACAUGUCUGUCAAUUGUUUAUCUUAUACAACCUAAACAUUUUCCCAUUCUCUCCUUCUUCUCAACAGAUUUAUACUGAAGUUUUUAGAGUUUUUCCUCUGCUUUAUUGAGAUAUAAUUGACAUAAGACAUUCUGUAAGUUUAAGGUGUACGAUGUGUUGAUCUGAUACAUUGUAAAAUGGUUACCACCACAGCACUAGUUAACACCUCCCUUACGUCACAGAAUUACAUUUCUUUAUUGUGGUAAGAGCAUUUAUGUUCUACUCUCUCAGCAACUGUCAAGUAUAUGAUACAGUCUUAUUAACCACCAUCACCAUGCGGGACAUUAGAUGCCUAGAACUUAUUCAUGCUAACUUGAAGUCUGUACCCUCUAACCAGCAUCAGGCCAUUUCCCACAGCUGCAACCCCAAGCCCUAUUAGUUACCACUCUACUGUUGCUAAGUUUCUACCAUUUUCGCUUUUUUACAUUCUGCAUAUUACAGUAUUUAUCUUUCUCUGACUUAUUUCGCUUAGCACAAUGCUCUCAAGGUCCAUCCACAUUUUCACAAAUGUCAAGAUUUUCUUCUUUCUCAUGGAUGAUUAAAAUGCCAUUGUGUGUGUGUGUGUGUGUGUGUGUACCACAUCUUCUUUAUUUAGUCAUCUGUUGAUACUUGAUCAACAUGUGGGUUGUUUCCAUAACUUGGCAUUGUGAAUAAUGUUACAAUAAACAUGGGAGUGCAAAUAUCUCUUUGAGAUCCUAUUUUCAUUUCCUUUGGAUAUAUACCUAGAAGUGGGAUUGCUGGAUCAUAAGGUAGUUCUAUUUUUAACUUUUUGAGGAAGCUCCAUACUGUUUUCCAUAGUGACUGCACCAGUUUGCAUUCCCACCUACAGUGCACAGGGGUUCUCUCUUCUCCACACCCCUGCCAACACUUGUUAUCUCUUAUCUUUUGAUGACAUCCAUUCUAACAGGUGUGAGAUGAUAUCUCCUUAUGGUUUUGAUUUGCAUUUCCCUGAUGAUGAGUGAUGCUGAACACCUUUUCAUGUACCUCUUGGUUAUUUGUAUGUCUUCUUUGGAAAGAUAAUGUAUGUUGUUCCUCUGCCCAUUUUUUAACUGGAUUUUUUUUAAGAGGUGAACUUUAUUUAUUUAUGUGUUAAAUCUGUACAUUUCUU